rnacentral:rRNA from 1 species
GACGGGGGGUCCAAGCGUUGUUCGGAAUCAUUGGGCGUAAAGCGUGUGCAGGUGGUUUGGUAAGUUGGAUGUGAAAGCCCUGGGCUUAACCCAGGAAGUGCAUUCAAAACUACCAAACUUGAGUAUGGAAGAGGGUCGUGGAAUUCCAGGUGUAGUGGUGAAAUACGUAGAUAUCUGGAGGAACACCGGUGGCGAAGGCGGCGACCUGGUCCUAUACUGACACUCAUACACGAAAGCGUGGGGAUCAAACAGG